GGCAGAAUAGCUCAGUGGCGGAGAGCAUGCUUAGCAUGCAUGAGGUCCUGGGUUCAAUCCCCAGUACCUCCA
rnacentral:tRNA from 1 species